UUUAUUUUAUUGCUAUGGCCCCCUCAUUAUCCAUAUGAAAGAAAGGUGGGGGCAUAGAACUCCUUUUUUUUUUUUAAACCCUUACCUUCCUUCUUGGAGUCAAUGCUGUGUAUUGGUUCCAAGGCAGAAGAGUGGUAAGGGCUAGGCAAUGGGGGUCAAGUGACUUGCCCAGGGUCACACAGCUGGGAAGUGUCUGAGGCCAGAUUUUAACCUAGGACCUCCUAUCUCUAGGCCUGGCUCUCAAUCCACUGAGCUACCCAGCUGCCCCCCAGGGCAUAGAACUCUUGAAAAAAAUAAGCAAAGUUGAGCACAACAAAUUCCACAUAGUAACCCUGUCUAGAAAUUUAUGUGACUUUAACUUGUAUCUAUCACUUCUCUUUCAGUGGGUAGGUAACAUGCUUCAUCAUAGAUUCUCUGAAGACAUGGUUGUCUCCCUGUUCCUUGAGACACAGCAAUAUCGAAAUCAGGCCAGUGAAUAGCCCUCCAAUGGCCUCUAAAUAUUCAAGUGAAAGGAAGAGUCCAUUGAUGCAGUAAACUUCGUUGUUGUCUUAUUUUAAGAAAUUGCCUCGGCCAUCCCAACCUUCAGCAACCUCCACCUCUAUUAGUCAAGCAACCAUCAACAUGGAGGCAGGACGUUCCAGCCGCCAAAAGAUUAUGACAUGACUAGCUAACGACUCAGAUGAUGAUUAGCAUUCUUUAGCAAUAAAGUAUUUUUAAUUAAGUUUGCA
rnacentral:lncRNA from 1 species